UCCCCAGUGGCUCAGAGGGUAAAGUGCCUGCAUGCAAGGUGGGAGACCCAGGUUCGAUCCCUGGGUCGGGAA
rnacentral:tRNA from 1 species